rnacentral:lncRNA from 1 species
AGGCCUAAUGCCUAAGAGAACGCAGAAACGCGGCUCGAACAGAGGCAACCAGAAAAUUCUCACGCAGAAAAAUUCUAGGGUUCUUCAUAACUCAUUUAUUUUUGAAUUCAGGUAUGUAAAAUUCCUUAUUAUCAUUUACCCUACGGUAGUAAUAUGCAAGAAUUGAAUAGUUAAUUCCCUUCUUCCUCUAUAUCAUUAAUAAAUUUCAUAUUUAGGUGUAGUACAUUAAAAUUGAUUAAAAUAUAUCGGUUGUUGUAGAAUCGAUUGUUUGACAGGUGUCAAUUGGACUGGGGCCUACGUAUUGGCUCGAGUAGUUUUGAGAUGAGUUGAUAUAACCCUUUACUAAAGUAGUUUAACUCACAAAAGAACGCAUACAAGGUGUUUGAUGAAUUUCUUAAAAGAGUUUAUCUUUAUUUAAUUAGAGCGAGUGAGUAUCCAUUAAUUUAGAAUUAUUCUAGCAAGAGUUUAGAUGAUCUAUUAUUCUUUAUGUGCUUAAAUUUUAAGACUUUUGUGUUAUUCUUAUAUGCUAUUUUCAUGUUGAAAAUUAUGAAGAAGAAAGAAUCUUUAGAAAUAUUUUAUAUGUCUAUUUCAUUCUUAUGUCAUGCGUUACAUUUAAGGAUACCAAUAUGAGCAUUUACAUAAUGUUCUAUAAAGAAAAGAUUUAGACUUGAAAAGUCAUAAGAAAAAGUUUUAGAAAGAAAAGAUUUUUGGGGACUAUACUUUAUUCUGAAAAAGGGUCAUCGUCCAGGCCGAGGGUCCUGACCAAGGCGUUGACUUCCUGAAACUACUUGUGCCAAAGUAGGGAGCACACGAUCCAAUGGUUUCGUUGCUGAGAAUUUACUUAGUCAUGCUAAGGUAUGAUACAUGAGCGCAGAGAAACAUGAAGCGAGUGGCACCUCGUGGAUUGGGCCUAUUCGAUCAGGUUGGGAUCGAACCCGUGCCGGUCACACGGUGACUGAGACAGAAUUAAGUCAGGAUAAUUGGAACUCCCAAAGUAUAAAAGUGAAGUAUUUUUUUUUAGAAAGAAAAAGAAAAGAAUUUCUUUUAGAAUAUUCAUAAAUUGCUAUUAUGUGAUUAUUUUAGAAUUAUUCUUAUAAGCUUUAUGUUUUACAUGCAUCUUGAACAUUGACUCGUAAUGUAUAUGUUAUUAAAGUUUCUCCCCCUGUGGUUGAGACUCUUUGAGUAUAAUGGAUGGUACUGAUAUUCUCUUUUUGGAACCUACUUUGGUCUGUGGUACAACGUAGGAACCGGAUUUGCAGGCGAGCAGGCUACGAGUUAGGACUUCCCACUGAGUACAAUGGAUGGUACUGACGUUCUUUUUUGGGAACCUACGUUGGUCUGCGGUACAACGUAUGAACCGAAUUUGCAGGCGAGCAGGCUACGAGUUAGGCCUUCCUUUCCUUCAAGUGAUAUUGGUGAGCUCCGCUUUUGUUCGUGGAGUAUUCUUAGAGUCAUUUUCAUUUAGCUAUUUCUUUGUUUAUUUAGAGAACUGGCCAGGUAAUCUCAUGUCCUGAGCAGUGCGUCAGUUUAUCAGUAGAGGCUUUAUAGACAUAGUCAUUGGGUUGAGAUUCAGAUGUUAUUUUUUAUAACUUAGCAGAUCUUUAUUUAUUUAAAGAACUGGCCAGGAAAUCUCAUGUCAUGAGCAGUGCGUUAGUUUAUCAGUAGAGACUUCAUAGGCAUAGUUGUUGGGUUAAGAUUCAGAUGCUUUUUAUAAUAACUUAGUAGUAUUUUUAUUGAUUACUAUGAAUAAAAUUUUGGAGUUGAUUUAUUUAAAUGUUUAAAUUAACCAAAAGUAUUUUGUUAGAGUAUGGCCUUGUUGCAUGUAAAGUUGGAGUUAUAAUAGAUUGAUAAGCAGAGAUGGUUCGCUCGGUCAUGUUUAGUGAUCGAGUGCCGGUCUCGGCUUGUUCAGAAAAUGGGUCGUGACAGUCAUGGGCAAAGUUUAUCUUAAAAAAAAUUAUGAUUCCAAGCAAGUGGGCUUAAGGGAAUUUUUGUCAACUUAUCGUUUGGGGUUACGAAUUAUUCAAAUUGGUGGUCAUGUGUAGUAAUCGAGUGCCAGUCGCGGCUUGUUCAGAAAAUGGGUCGUGACACUGAAAUUAGUUUAUUUUUGCUGCAACAGAAAUAGAUAGGAAGAGAGUGACAAGUUCAAAUUGACAUUGAACACUUCGGCAGAUGGGGUGAUCGAGCCUUCUGGUCGAGCUGUUUCGGUUUCUGUC